GCACAAGCGGUGGAGCAUGUGGUUUAAUUCGACGCAACGCGAAGAACCUUACCAGGCUUGACAUCCCCUGACCGCGUAUGAAAGUACGUUUUCACCCUCGGGUGACAGGGAGACAGGUGGUGCAUGGUUGUCGUCAGCUCGUGUCGUGAGAUGUUGGGUUAAGUCCCGCAACGAGCGCAACCCCUACGUUUAGUUGCUAACGCGUGAAGGCGAGCACUCUAGACGAACUGCCGUUGACAAAACGGAGGAAGGUGGGAUGACGUCAAAUCAUCAUGCCCCUUAUGUUCUGGGCUACACACGUGCUACAAUGGCCGGUACAGACGGACGCAAAGCCGCGAGGUGGAGCAAAUCCUAAAAAGCCGGUCUCAGUUCGGAUUGCAGGCUGCAAUUCGCCUGCAUGAAGUCGGAAUCGCUAGUAAUCGCAGGUCAGCAUACUGCGGUGAAUACGUUCCCGGGCCUU
rnacentral:rRNA from 1 species